rnacentral:rRNA from 1 species
UACGGAAGGCAGCAGUGGGGAAUAUUGCACAAUGGGCGCAAGCCUGAUGCAGCCAUGCCGCGUGUAUGAAGAAGGCCUUCGGGUUGUAAAGUACUUUCAGCGGGGAGGAAGGCGAUGCGGUUAAUAACCGCGUCGAUUGACGUUACCCGCAGAAGAAGCACCGGCUAACUCCGUGCCAGCAGCCGCGGUAAUACGGAGGGUGCAAGCGUUAAUCGGAAUUACUGGGCGUAAAGCGCACGCAGGCGGUCUGUUAAGUCAGAUGUGAAAUCCCCGGGCUUAACCUGGGAACUGCAUUUGAACUGGCAGGCUUGAGUCUUGUAGAGGGGGUUAGAAUUCCAGGUGUAGCGGUGAAAUGCGUAGAGAUCUGGAGGAAUACCGGUGGCGAAGGCGGCCCCUGGGACAAAGACUGACGCCCAGGGUGCGAAAGCGUGGGGAGCAAACAGGGAUUAGAUACC